UAAAAAUUCAAAAAUAUACUAAAAUAAAAAUUCAAAUAAAAUAUUAAAAUAAAAAUCUUAAUUAAAUCUUAGUCAAAAUCUAAUCAAAUCCUAAUCAAAUCCUAGUCAAAGUCUAACCAGAUCCUAAUCAAAUCCUAUAAAAAUCCUAAUAAAAUCUUAAACAAAUUCUAAAUAAAUCCUAAUAAAAUCUUAAAUAAUUUCUAGUCAAACCCUAAUCAAAUCCUAAUAAAAUCUUAAUUAAAUUCUAAAAAAAUCUUAAUAAAACCAUAACCAAAUCCUAGUCAAAUCCUAACCAAAUAUCAACCAAAUCCUAAUCGAAUUCUAAACAAAUCUUAACCAAAUCUCAACCAAACCCUAAUCGAAUCCUAAACAAAUUUUAAUCAAAUUCUAAAUAAUUUCAAGUAAUUCCUACAAUAAAUUUAAACCUGAAUAAUUAAUAAAUGAACCAUUGAUUUUAAUUAAAAUUUUGCACACCUCUUAACAAUUAAGCUGAAAAUAAGUACAAAUAUUUUGAAGAAGAUCGAAAUCUCUAAA
rnacentral:lncRNA from 1 species